AGACCUAAACUGCUUUUGGUUGGCUCUGUCAAGAAUAUUUAUUUCAGUCUAUAAAAAUCUCACUCUUCCUCUUUUUUCUUUUCCUGUGUGUGGACAAGAAACGAGGAUAGGGUUUCUGUUUUGCUUCCAAAAAUAACCAUAGCCUCUCUUCUCUCUGUCACAACUAUCAGAGAAAAUCUAUCUCGGCUGCCUUGGAUCUUGUUAACUUCUCUUUUAUUCUGAUUGUGAUUGUUGUUGUUGUUGUAUCUAGUUCGCUUGGUGCAGGUCGGGAAACGGUUUAUUCAUUUUCUUCCUUUUGGUUCUUGUUAAUGUUGACCAUGUGAAUUGGAUUCCCGCCUUGCAUCAACUGAAUCGGAUACAGCAGUGAGUUAGUGAAUCAAUAAGGAAGGUCAGAUCUUUACUUGUAUUAUUAUUUCUUCUAUUUAAUACAGUUUAGUCUGUUGUUUUAUGAUUUGGAUCUAGUUUUAGGAUUCAGUGUUCUGCUAAUUAAUCAGAUGUAACUAUCUCUUUCUAUCAAGAUUCAUUAUUAUCGCCUUCGCCGUCAUUUAGUUUGUUUAUUUUUGUGCUAAAAAAUUUGUUGUUUCGCCAUUUCUGGUUCCUGUUAUUAUUUUUAAAAGAUGAAGUACAGUUAUUCAUCAUUUUUUGUUGUUGGAUUCUCUUUAAAUUUCUACUUAUUUAUUUUUUUGAAGCUGAAAUUUCUAAUUAAUCAAAGUCCAAAUGUCAUUUGGCUUCUCCAUCAUUGGUUUGGUUUAAUUUAUUAUGUUCUAAUAUAAUUUUUACAUUAAUAUAUUUCACAUCAGUUUGCCCUUUUUUUUUUUGGUUGUUUGUGUGUGUGUGUGUGUGUGUGUUUAACUGAUGUGCUGAGUAGUAAUCUGAUUUCAGGGUAGUGUAUCUCUUUUGUUCCCAAGUGUUAUUUUGCUAACAAAUUAUGGUAAGGCUCUGAUUAGGAGCUGGUUAUUACUCUCUUUUUCUGAAGCAUAGCUAGUUAUUACUCAGUGAUGAUGUCGUAUACUCUUGAAAUAAUAUUCCAAAUAUUGCGUUAAAAGUGUCUUAAGUCGUAAAAUAUUAUAACUCUGGCAUGUCGUUUGUUCUUCCAAUUUAAUCUUGAAAUGGGUCAUUUCAUUUACUAAUAAUGAGAGGAUUAUGUGGUUCCCUAAUCUGUUGAUUUAAUAGGUUGUUGUCGGCGUGGAGCCUUCACACUGAGUUGUCACAUGUUUCCAUUUCUACCUAAUACUGUUUCUAGCUACUACCCGUUCUUUAAGGUACUUACUUAGGCUUGAUGCCAAGUAUCUGCUAGAAUUUUUGCUGUUCAGUAAUGUCAGUUUAGUGCAUCUGAGCAAGUCCUCUUCCCUAAACCCCAAGGUGUUUUCUGUAGCAUUAAAGGCGAGUCUAGUAAGCUUCCUUCCCCAGAGGUAUAUGCUUUACGGGGCUAGAUUUCAUAUCUCAUUUCCCUCAAUUGUCAUUGUGUGUUUAUUUCUAAUUCUCCUAGAAUUAGAAGUGGAAUUAUGAGAUCUACAGAUUGGGUAGCUUAAGGUAAUCUCCAAUAGAAUGUUAAAAUAGCUAUGGAUUGAAGGUUUAUUUAUUGUCUUCUUACAUGAUUUAGAGUUGAAGCAUUGACGGAUGCCCAUUAAUUCCCCUUUCUCUUCUGACCUCAUUUUACCUUUGUACUUUGUCUAGUAUGAACUGAUGUUGUGAAGCUGGAUGCAGUUCGACAGUGGUGGUGCAACAUAGAUUAUACUUGCUACCAAUUGAUUGGGACAGUUUGACUAGAGAGAAGGUUGAUCAUUUUUGGCAAGGGCAACGUCUCUCACUGUAUGACAUCUGUAGUUUAAGAUUAUUGUGGACAAUUUGGACGCAUCUUGAAGGGGGUUUAGUGUCUUUUAAAUUUUUAAUCAAUCAGGCACCAAGUACCAUGCUCACUUUAGGAGUUCUUGAACGGCAUGUAAAAACUUCUCUGUCCAUUUCCAUUGGCCUACUGUAGACUGCAUUCCCCCAUCAUGCAUAAAGUAGCAACUGUAUACCAUGUUUAUGAUCUGAUAAUCUACAUCUUCAGUGUUCUGUCUUUAUCACUUGUUGUUCAGCUGCUGUGCAAGUGUUGAGCAUUUCCUUCUCUGUUUUCUUCACAAACUCCAAUUCAUAUCCCAGUGGGUUCUUACACACAAAUGCUGAUAGAGGAUCUUAAUGCCAAAUGCAUUUCCGUGGAAUGCUGCUGGCUGUUGGCUGUUAGAGGCCGCAUUUCUCAAGUGUGUUGAGCAUGAAAAGAUAGACAUCCUUGGCAUCAAGAGUAAAUGCAAUUGCAUGGCUUCUCCAGGUAUGCAGUGAGGAUCUGAUGGUAGUUGGUGUAUUCUUUUCUUGGGCAUUUAAUCUGUUGCGGACCCAGAAAAUAAGGAACCCUGGAGUGUUUGAUGUUUAUUGGGAGGUUGGACUACUGCUUUGGCUCUAGGCACUGUCAUACUCGCUAUGGAUGGUGGGUAUUGAGAGCUGAGGGAUUCCAUUUGCAAACAGGCAGACAGGAUAAUGAUUCAGAGCUGCAGACAUAUUCACAACAGUUGUGAUGAUUUGGACGAUAUCCGAGUCACCUGCAAAGUUCUGUUCACCUGACAAAUAAACCUAAACUUGCUUUUUGGAAGAAAUACAAAGUUUUAUGAAUUCGGGUCAGGCAGUAGGUUAUCAGUUGAAAUAAUCGGAGGUAGCUGUUAUUUUGUUUGCCACGUCAAUUUCAGUGGUUCUAAACACCGUCUUACUCUAUGUUGUAAGAGGCGAGCGCUAAGCCCUGGACCAGCGCCUAGGAAAAAAAGGCUCCAAGGCGAGGCGUGAGCGUGAUGACCAAUCUUUUUUUUUUUUGGCGCCGAAGGCGCCCAGAUAGCGCUUAAGCCCUAGGCGAGGCCAGACGAUGGGCUUGGCGCCUCGCCUCGCCUAGCGCCUUUUAAAACAUAGACGAGAUUUGAAGGGACAAGUUUCAUCAUUUAAGCAUGAUUUUCUCCUCCUUCAUUUUGUCGUCGGAGGAGCAAGUUAGAGACUUUCAGGGUGGGAUGAUAAUAUACGCAUGAUAAUUGUUCAGGGUGCGGUGAAAUGUAUGCGGGCAACUAUUUGUCGCCUUCUAUAAUGACGUCUACUGGGACUGGUUUUCUGCUUGAUAUACCUCAUCCUGUCCUGUAUAGAUGUUAUCGUCAUUUUUGUUUCUCUUAUCACUUCAGUUUGCUUUCUCUGUUCAUCUUACAGAAUAAUGAGAAUGGAUCACCUGAAACCUUGAUCA